rnacentral:lncRNA from 1 species
CAAUCAGUUACUAUUUCCUCAUGACGCACCUCCUUAACUGAUCCCUGAGUUGCAGAUGCUAUGCUCCUAGGUUCUGACGUGGAAUCCGCAGAAGGAAAUCAGAUACAGUUGGUGAUGUGUGAUAAGACGGUGUUCACAGAGACAUUAAUAACAGAGCUGAGCUGUGGCAGAUGAACACAUACUUUCCAGGUGAAAAGACAGAGACAACGAAGUGGAACAGCUUGGCAUGCAUCUCUGCUGUAAAACCCCUCACGGCAUACAAGUGACUUCUAUUCAAUGUGGCAUGAAUGAUGGAACAAAUACAGAGGCCCACAACUGGACAAUGUGCACACACAAUCAAGGUGUCGCUAUCAAAUCUCUCCCCUCAAAGCUCAGGAAACCCUGCUGAAGAGGAGGUAGGAAGCUUGUAAGAGCCAGGUGCUUAUUUGUUUUCUAAUAACACAGAGAAAGAAAGAGUCUGGAUUUCAGUGGGAGGACUUGGGAGGGAAACCAUAAUCAGAAUACAGUGUAUUAAAAAAAUUCAACAAAUACAAUAGAAAAAGAAGAACUAUCAGCAAUACAUUGGAUAAUAUGAUUCAGGACUGGUAUGAAGAGUAAUUGCCAAAUAAACUCCACAAAACCCAAACCGAACCAAACCAAACCAAACCUAAAACUCUCACUAAAGAUGAGGAAAGGAACCAGAACUGACAAAGAAGAGAUUUAAGAAGCUACCCAGAGAUUUAUCAUUAUGAGUGCCAAGAAGGUCAUUGGCUAUUUUCACAACUCUUAUCAGGCAUUCAAUCAAUUCUGGAAGAAAGACUAAAAAUACAUGGUUGCUGUGUAUGUUUGAUGUAUGUAGGGCUGCCUGCUUGUCUGCAUGGGUAUCAUGCGUGUGCAGUGCUCAUGGAGGCAAGAAGAGGAAAGUGGAUACCUUAGGACUGGAGUUGUGGGCAGUUGUGAGCCAUCACCUAAGAUUUGAGAACUGAACUGAGGCCCCUGCAAGAACAGCAAGUGCUUCUCAACUCCUAGCAACCUCUCCAUCCUGACUGUAUGCAUUUUGAGGGAGACACGUAUCUGGAAAUGCUUGGAGCUCAGGAGAAACCCCAGCUGUUUGGAUUCAGGAUGCUCUUCGGUUCUUCCCUUUGAACGCUGCCCACACUCUCUCUUGAUCAGUCACUAGUAUUUUGUGACAUUCACAAGACUCCUUGUUUGUGAGCACAUUUCUCUCUCAAAAAUCAUUUAAUUAUUUUAUACAUGAAGAAAAUUGUUCUUCAACAGGAAAAAUGAGACCAGGCAUGGAAUAGGAAAACUAGAAGAGAACUAUACUGUACUGGUUGACUGUGUGUGUCAACUUGACACAAGCUGGAUCAAGGGUGGGGGGGGGCCCACUGUAGGUGGUGCCAUUCCUGGAUUGGUAGUCCUGGGUUCUAUAAGAAAGCAAGCUGAGCAAGCCAGGGGAAGCAAGCCAGCAGCACCCUCCAUGGCCUCUGCAUCAGCUCCUGCUUCCUGACCUACCUGAGUUCCAGUUCUGAGUUCCUUUGGUGAUGAAUAGCAAUGUGGAAGUGUAAGCUGAAUAAACUCCUUUCCAACUUGC